UGGGGAAUAUUGCACAAUGGGCGCAAGCCUGAUGCAGCCAUGCCGCGUGUAUGAAGAAGGCCUUCGGGUUGUAAAGUACUUUCAGCAGUGAGGAAGGUGGGUAUGUUAAUAGCAUACUCAUUUGACGUUAGCUGCAGAAGAAGCACCGGCUAACUCCGUGCCAGCAGCCGCGGUAAUACGGAGGGUGCGAGCGUUAAUCGGAAUUACUGGGCGUAAAGCGCAUGCAGGUGGUUGUUAAGUCAGAUGUGAAAAGCCCGGGGCUCAACCUCGGAAUUGCAUUUGAAACUGGCAAACUAGAGUACUGUAGAGGGGGUAGAAUUUCAGGUGUAGCGGUGAAAUGCGUAGAGAUCUGAAGGAAUACCGGGUGGCGAAGGCGGCCCCCUGGACAGAUACUUGACACUCAGAUGCGAAAGCGUGGGGAGCAAACAGGAUUAGAUACCCUGGUAG
rnacentral:rRNA from 1 species